GGCCGCGUGGCCUAAUGGCUAAGGCGCUAGAUUUCGGUUCACCGAUCUCCCAUUCUCUAGAGAUUCCAGGUUCGACUCCUGGCGUGGUCG
rnacentral:tRNA from 1 species